rnacentral:lncRNA from 1 species
CACAAAUCGUGAAAGCCUCGCGGGCUGCACAAAAUGGCUUGGCGGGCCGCCUUUUGGACAGCCCUGGUCUAAUCUAUUUAAAAGUUCUGAUUCUUUGUAUCUAAUCACAAGUUCUGCCAUAAUGCUCGCAAGGGGGCCGUCGAUGGGCACACCCCUUUUCUGUAUAUAGUAUUGUCCCUGAAAAACAUAGUAAGAGUUAUAGGUUAUUAGGUGAUAGGUGUCCCUCAGGAGGCUGGCACAUUCAUUAGAGGUUGGAACAUAUUGGAGCAAAAACCUGUAGAGCAUAAAAGACGCAGGCGCUUGCUCUACACUUGGAUAAAGGGAGUCAAAAUCCAUGACAGAAAACGUUUCAUUGGGGAACGGCCCGACCUCCAGGAGCUUAUCAAUGAAUUGAGUUGAAGAUCCCACAAUGUAGGGUAACCUUUCAGAUGCCUAAUGGCCCAUUUGCCGAUGGUCCUUUCUAAGCUUUAUAGGGGUGAAGACUUUUUGUUGACCAUGGGUUGGAUAGCAGGUGGAGCCUUGUGAGUCUUGACAUAGCCGAAAAGCCUGGGGGCAUAAGGCGCAGAGAUGUCUUUAACCUUCCAGAUAGUAGGAAAGGAUUUAGACCUGACAAUAUGGGCAACUGCACUCACUAACCUAUCCGGGUCGUAUCUUACUGGUUCUGAGCAAGAUUGCUCAAUAAAAGUGUGUAAGAGGCCAUUAUAUCUUUCUGACUCAAUAAGCACUACCUUCCUGGAUUUAUCGUCUCUUUUGCACGUAAUUGAGUUUGUCUUCAUCCAAUCUCUGGAGUAGGCUAUGGCAGCUCUAAGCCUAGUGCUUGUCAUAUGUUUUGAAACGUCUCCUGCCAUUUUUGCAUUAAUAACAUCCUAUUUCAACUUCUCUUUAUGGACCUCAUCAUAGUUGCUCAGUAGACAAUCUACGUGCAGCACCAUAUCACAGAUGGUGGGUAAGAUCUGUGGGACUGCU